AUUGAACGCUGGCGGCAGGCCUAACACAUGCAAGUCGAACGGUAACAGGAAGAAGCUUGCUUCUUUGCUGACGAGUGGCGGACGGGUGAGUAAUGUCUGGGAAACUGCCUGAUGGAGGGGGAUAACUACUGGAAACGGUAGCUAAUACCGCAUAACGUCGCAAGACCAAAGAGGGGGACCUUCGGGCCUCUUGCCAUCGGAUGUGCCCAGAUGGGAUUAGCUAGUAGGUGGGGUAACGGCUCACCUAGGCGACGAUCCCUAGCUGGUCUGAGAGGAUGACCAGGCCCACUGGGACUGAGACACGGUCCAGACUCCGACGGGAGGCAGCAGUGGGGAAUAGUGCACAAUGGGCGCAAGCCUGAUGCAGCCAUGCCGCGUGUAUGAAGAAGGCCUUCGGGUUGUAAAGUACUUUCAGCGGGGAGGAAGGGAGUAAAGUUAAUACCUUUGCUCAUUGACGUUACCCGCAGAAGAAGCACCGGCUAACUCCGUG
rnacentral:rRNA from 1 species